rnacentral:rRNA from 1 species
GAUUUCUGGCUAUUCGUAUCUUGCCGGCCACGGUUUCGUGUGUUAGUGCUUGAUACAUUGGCCAUCCUUCCAAUGGCUAUUCAUCCUUCUUCAUUGAGGUGGUGAGUGGUAUUGGAUCUUUUACUUUGAAAAAAUUAGAGUGUUUCAAGCAGGCAUAUUUGCUAUGAAUACAUUAGCAUGGAAUAAUAAUCUAGGACUUUCGGUUCUAUUUUGUUGGUGUUCUGGAGCUGAAGUAAUGAUUGAUAGGGAUAGUUGGGGGUGCUAGUAUUCAAUGGCCAGAGGUGAAAUUCUCGGAUUCCUUGAAGACUAACUUAUGCGAAAGCAUU